GCAGCUCCUGCCUAAGUGAUUUGGGCCUGAGCAAGCUGCAGACGGCAGGGAGAAUGCAGUCCCUCCAGUAUUAUUUUGUGUGUUUCCUUGUCUCCUCUCAGAGGCUUGUGUGAGACCUGUGACCACAAGCAAGCUUUAAACCACAUGCAGUCUGUUUUUGGCUAUUCUCUACCCUAUCUGGGAUUUUAUGGAAAAUGUGUUCCUUAGUGCACAGGCGUUUGGUGAGAUGAGCAGCAGCUGGUGACUGAGCUUGGUGAUGACAAAAACCAUUAAUGCCAGGCCCGGGGCUUUGCUCUCAACACACUCUGAGUCUUACGGGAUGGCAGACAGGCUGCUGGAGAGCGAGGGCAGGGCUUGCAUGGGCCCUACUGUUGGCUCACAGGCCAAGUGAGAAACUAAGGGCUCCACAUCAGGCUGUCAGUGCAGGGUCACAGGCUGUCCCCUCAGUUAGCACGGGUGGGCUCUGACACUGGAACUGGCUCUUUCUCCCUGACAGUUUACUUUCACUACAUUUUUUUUUUCAUUUUUAAUUUUUUCCAGUUACCAUUGUCAUGCCUUGUAGCAUUUUAUACUUUGUUCCCUUUAAUCUUUUCCUUUGGCUCUUGGCUUGUAUUUGUCCCUUUUCUUCCUGGUGGCUGGGCUGGAUGGCCCUAGGAUCUGUCCUUGGACCUAAUGUCUUAAUUCCCACCAUUGCUUUUAUGAUUCCCUCCUUGUUACAGUGUCUUGAAUUCCAGACUAAACGCUGGGGCUGAACAGCCUAUGGUCCAUCUCUGUCCUCCAAUGCAGGUGCCUGCUUCCCCUUUGCCUUCUGCCUUGAUUGUAAGUUUCCUGAGGCCUCCCAGCCAUGCUUCCUGUUAAGCCUGUGAAACUGUGUGCUUGGCUGGGCAGCCUCUGAAGUCUAUGUGAGCCCUCACCCUGGGCCUUUUCUACUUGGGCCCGUGCCUCUAUUCUCUGCAACUGGGCUGAGCUCAGCUGUGCUGAGUAGUGGAAGAGAGUGGUGGGGAAUCACUCUAUGGAUGAACAAAGCUGCAGACAGCUUGGACCUGCAGGAAAGAUAGCAGAGGUGUCUGCUUGCCAAGGGAUCAAUGGGCACACCUCCUGAGAAAGCUGUGGGCCAAAGAGGGAAAAAUACGUUUGGGAGUCUAAGGGAGAGGAAUCUUGUACCCAUGCCCGGGAAGAACCCUGCUGAGGUAACAGAAUCCCAGAGAGGAAAUGGCUCCAGGCAGAAAACAUCUGGGCACAGAAGGGAUGGAGGGCUUCCGUUCAUCUGCUAACCCUUGGACCAGAGCAGCAGAUCGGAAGCCUCAACUCUUUUAUGAAAGAAGACAAAGUACAAUAGGCUGAAGUGCAAUGGGACGAUCUUGGCUCACCACAACCUCUGCUUCCUGGAUUCAAGCAAUUCUCCUGCCUCAGCCUCUUAAGUAGCUGGGAUUACAGGCAUGUGGCACCACUCCGGGCUAAUUUGGUAUUUUUAGUGGAAAUGGGGUUUCUCCAUGUUGGUCAAGCUAGUCUCAAACUCCUGACCUCAGAUGAUCCACCUGCCUCAGCCUCCCAAAGUCCCGGGAUCACAGACAUGAGCUACCACACCCAGCAACUCCACCUUCUAAUACCAUCAUGUUGGGGGUUAGGAUUUUAGCAUAUGAACUUGGGGUGGACACAGACAUUCAGACCACAGCAAUUCCUCAACGUUAUUACAUCUAAGGGCAAUUCAAGUUAACACUAUAACUAGAUACUGCCACACAACUUUCUGAGUGGAUACAAUGAAAAAGACUGACAGCUCAAGUGCAGACAAGUGUGUGGAACAAUUGGAGCUCUCAAACACUGCAGCUGGGAGUGUAAAUGGGCACUACCACUUUAACACACUGUUUGGAAGUAUGGUUCAAGCUAAACACAUUCACUCUCUGACCCAGCAGUUAUACUCCAGGAGGUAUACACAAGAAAAAUGACUCUCAAGCCCUCUGAAAGAUAGGUAUGAGAAUGUCUAUGGCAGUGUUCUUUAUAGUAGUCCUGGAAACAAUCCACGUGUCUAUCAAUAGUAGGAUAAAUAGAUAAAUUAUGCUAUAGUCAAUGGAAAACUACACAGAAUUAUAAAAUAACAAAUUAUUGCUGUUUGACAUAAUGUGGAUAAAUCUGGCAGACAUAAGGAUGAGAUAAAGAAGCCAGAAACAAGGAUAAUAAAUUGUAUAAUUCCUUUAUAUAAUGGCUAAAAACAGGCAAAAUUAAUCUGUGGUGACAGAGGUCUGAACAAUGGUUACCUCUGGGGAGCCUGAUGGGAGGAGGCAUGAAGAAACCAUAUGCAGUGCUGGGAAUA